UUGCCAUCGCACACAAUGGGACCAGGAUGUCUCCUGAGAUGACUAACUUUCAGCUGUGUUGAAACACAGGUCUUAAGCAAGCUGCUGUUGAUCUCCACAGAGACACUGCCGAUUUAUCCCUAGUAAGUGAAUUUCAGUCAUUGUGAAGACAUUGGUAUGACAAGACAAAAAUCUCUCUGACACGACUGUUUCUCUCUGGACAAGCUGCUCAUAAACAAAUACUGGUAUUGUAAUCUAUAAAUACACAAUAUUCUGGAUAAAUGCACCAUGGCGUGAAAACUCAGUUGUACAUAAAUUCAAUACUAGCAUCACAGCAUGUUCUAAAAACACUACAGCAGCGUAAUAAAUGCUUGUUUGUUCUACAAAUGAGAAAAAAAAAAAACCCUGCUAGGGAGCGUUCACACUGACAAACCCUUCCGUCUCAUUUCUUUCCUUUUUUUUUUAAAUGAAAAUCCACCGAGUCACAAAAUACACCCGCUCUCCAUCCUCAGGGUAAGGGCAGCUGCCGGAGGAGGCGGCGGCCCCGGGGAUCCCGACGUCCUUCCACAGCGCUGGGGCGCGAACCAGGAGGUCCCGGAGGCGCGGACCUCGGCCGUGUGUGUGUGUGUGUGUGUGUGUGUGUGUGUGUGUGUGUGUGUGUGUGUGUGUGUGUGUGUGUGUGUGUGUGUGUGUGUGUGUGUGUGUGUGUGUGUGUGUGUGUGUGUGUGUGUGUGUGUGUGUGUGUGUGUGUGUGUGUGUGUGUGUGUGUGUGUGUGUGUGUGUGUGUGUGUGUGUGUGUGUGUGUGUGUGUGUGUGUGUGUGUGUGUGUGUGUGUGUGUGUGUGUGUGUGUGUGUGUGUGUGUGUGUGUGUGUGUGUGUGUGUGUGUGUGUGUGUGUGUGUGUGUGUGUGUGUGUGUGUGUGUGUGUGUGUGUGUGUGUGUGUGUGUGUGUGUGUGUGUGUGUGUGUGUGUGUGUGUGUGUGUGUGUGUGUGUGUGUGUGUGUGUGUGUGUGUGUGUGUGUGUGUGUGUGUGUGUGUGUGUGUGUGUGUGUGUGUGUGUGUGUGUGUGUGUGUGUGUGUGUGUGUGUGUGUGUGUGUGUGUGUGUGUGUGUGUGUGUGUGUGUGUGUGUGUGUGUGUGUGUGUGUGUCUGUGUGUCUGUGUGUCUGUGUGUCUGUGUGUCUGUGUCUGUGUGUGUGCGUGCGCCGNNNNNNNNNNNNNNNNNNNNNNNNNNNNNNN
rnacentral:lncRNA from 1 species